rnacentral:rRNA from 1 species
AACGAACGCUGGCGGCAUGCUUAACACAUGCAAGUCGAACGCCCCGCCAGUGGUUUUGCUGACUGGUGAUUAACGCGUGGCAAUCUACCCAUCCCUACGUCAUAACCCAUUGAUACGUGUGCUAUUACCUUAUACGCCCUACUGUGUCAAGAUUUAUCGGGGAUGGAUGUGCCCGCUUUGGAUUAGCUAGUUGGUGGGGUAAAUGCCUACCAAGGCGACGAUCCAUAGCUGGUCUGAGAGGAAGAUCAGCGACAUUGGGACUGAGACACGGACCAAAAUCGUACGGGAGGAAGCAGUGGGGAAUAUUGGACAAUGGGGGAAAGAAUGAACAAGCCAUGACGGGUGAGUGAUGAAGGCGUUAGGGUAGUAAAGCACAAUAAAAGGAGAAGAUAAUGACGGUAACCGGAGAAGAAGCCACGGCUAACUACGUG